rnacentral:rRNA from 1 species
AUGACUCUCGGCAACAGAUAUCUCAACUCUCGCAUCGAUGAAGAACAUAGCAAAAUACGAUACUUAGUAUGAAUUGUAGAAUCCCAUGAAUCGUAGAGUAUUUGAACACAAGUUGUGCCCGAAGAUAUUAGGCCGAGGGCACGUCUGCCUGGGCAUCAUGCAUUGCGUCGCCCCCUCGUAUCGUGCCGCAAUGACGGGGCUCGGUCUUGUUGUGGGGCGGAUACUGGCCUCCCGUGCACCUCGAGGUCGUGGCUGGCCUAAAUAUGAGUCCACAUCAAUGGAUGUCACAGAAAGUGGUGGUUGUAUCUCAACUGUCUUUGUUGUCACGGCGAUAGCCCAUCGCGCGUUCGGACUCCAGGACCCUUUUGCGCUUAGGCACUCCGAACGCGACCCCAGGUCAGGCAGGAUUAUCUACUGAGUUUAAGUAUAUCAAUAAGUGGAGGAAAAUAAACUUACAAGGAUUCCCUUAGUAACGGCGAGUGAACUGGGAAUAGCCCAGCCUUAGAAUUGGGCGGAUCCAUCAUCCAAAUUGUAGUUUGGAGAAGCGUCCUCAAUGGGGGACUAGACCCAAGUCCCCUGGAAGGGGGCACCAGAGAGGGUAAGAUCCCCACUGUGCCAGGACCCUAUCGUACCACGGGGCACUGUCUAUGAGUCGGGUUGUUUGAGAAUGCAUCCCAAAUCAGGCGGUGAAUUCCGUCCAAGCCUAAAUACGGGCUACAAAUCGAUAGUGAACAAGUACCGCGAGGGAAAGAUGAAAAAGACUUUGAAAAGAGAGUCAAAGAGUGCUUAAAAUUAUCGUGAGGGAAGCGGAUGGGGGCCGAGGAUGUGCCUCGAUCGGAUGUGGAAUGGCAAUGAUCCAGUCUAUCGAUCGACUCGGGGCAUGGAAGAGCGUUGAUUGGGGGCGUCCAAAGACCGGGCUCUCGAUACACUUGUGGAACGCCGUCUCUUCAAUUGUGGAAAGCAGCGCACGCCUCCGGUGUGCUUCGGUAUCUUCACGCUACGGACGCUGGUCUGUGGCUUCCCAUUCGACCCGUCUUGAAAACCAGACCAAGGAGUCUGACAUGUAUGAGAGUCAACAGGCGAGUAAACCCGUAUGGCGUAAGGAAGCUGAUUGGUGGUAUCCCCUCGAGGGGUGCACCACCGACGGACCUUGAUCUUCUGAGAAGGGUCCAAGUGUGAGCAUACCUAUCGGGACCCAAAAGAUGGUGAACUAUGCCUGAGCGGGGUGAAGCCAGAGAAAACUCUGGUGGAGGCCCGUAGUGAUACUGACAUGCAAAUCAUUCGUCUGACUUGGGUGUAGGGCCCGCGGCUGCUUUAUCUAGCCGUACCACGGAAUCAAGAGCUCCAAGUAGGCUAUUUUUUAUAAGCAGAACUGGGGAUGCGGGAUGAACCAACAGUCAGGUUACGGUGCCAAACUGCGCGCUAACCUAGAUCCCAUAAAGGGUGUUGGUCGGUGGUCAUGGAAGUCAAAAUCUGCUAAGGAGUGUGUAAGAACUCACCUGUCAAAUAAACUAGCCCCAAAAAUGGAUGGAGCUUAAGAGCGUGACCUACACCCGACCGUCGGGGAAAGUUUCAGGCCCCGAUGAGUAGGAGGGCGCAGCGGUCGCCGCAAAACCUUGGGCGCAAGCCCAGGCAGGAAAGGUACGGACAAGGAGAAUCCGACUAUUUAAUUAAAACAAAGCAUUGCGAUUGUCCCAACGGAUGUUCACGCAUUGUGAUUUCUGCUCAGUGCUAUGAAUGUCAAAGUGAAGAAAUUCAACCAAGCGCAGGUAAACAGCGGGAGUAACUAUGACUCUCUUAAGGUUGCCAAAUGCCUCGUCAUCUAAUUAGUGACGCGCAUGAGUGGAUUAACGAGAUUCCCACUACCCCUAUCUACUAUUCAGUGAAACCACAGCCAGGGGAACGGUCUUGGCAGAAUCAGCAGGGAAAGAAGACCCUCUUGAGCUUGACUAUACUCCGACUUUGUGAACUGACUUGAGAGGUGUAGUAUAAGUGGUAGCCGAAAUGAGAAAGUUAAAUACCACUACUUUUAACGUUAUUUUACUUGUUUCUUGAAUCAAAAGUGGGGCACUGCCCCUCUUUUUGGACCCAAGGCUCACUCUGCGGGCCGAUCUGGGCAGAAAACAUUGUCAGGUGGAGAUUUUGGCUGGGGCGGCACAUCUGUUAAAAGAUAACGCAGGUGUCCUAAGAUGAUCUCAAUGAGAAUAGAAAUAUCGUGUGGAACAGAAGGGUAAAAGCUCAUUUGAUGCUGAUUUCCAGUACGAUUAUGAACCAUGAAAGCGUGGCCUAACGAUCCAUUAGACCUUCGGAAUUCGAAGCUACAGGUGUCAGAAAAGUGUUACCAGAGGGAUAAUUGGCCUGUUGCAGCCAAUCGUUUAUAGCGACGUUGCUUUUUCUUCCUUUGAUGUCGGCUCUUCCUAUCAUUGUAAAGCAGAAUUCACCAAGUGUUGGGCUGUUCACCCACCAAUAGGGAAUGUGAGCUGGGUAUAGACCGUCGUGAGACAGGUUAGUUUUACCCUAGUUAUGACAGUGUCGCAGUAGUAAUUAAACCUAGUACGAGAGAAAACGUUGAUUCACACAAUUUGUCAUCGCACUUGGUUGAAAAGCGUGUGGUGCAAAGCAACCGUGUGCUGGAUUAUGACUGAAUACCUCUAAGUUAGAAUCCAGGCUAGAAAUGAUGCAUGUGCCCGCUGUCCGCUUGCCGAUCCGCUGUAGGGGCCUCGGCCCCCAAGGAAAUGUGUCAUUUUCUAAGACACCACGGCAGAAGAGUCAUGGUGGCCGCCUUGAAGUAUAAUUUCCACUAAGCGGCGGGUAGAAUCCUUUGUGGACGACUUAAAUAUGUGAUGGGGUAUUGUAAGUGGAAAAGUGGCCUUGCUGCUACGAUCCACUGAGAUUCAUUCCUUUGUUUCUUUAGUUCGUCUCUCCCCA